AUGACGUCAAGUCCUCAUGGCCUUUAUGUCUAGGGCUACACACGUACUACAAUGGCCGGUACAAAGGGCAGCCACUCAGCGAUGAGGCGCUAAUCCCAUAAAGCCGGUCUCAGUCCGGAUCGCAGUCUGCAACUCGACUGCGUGAAGUUGGAGUCGCUAGUAAUCGUAGAUCAGCAUGCUACGGUGAAUACGUUCCCGGGCCUU
rnacentral:rRNA from 1 species